rnacentral:tRNA from 1 species
CCUUUCAUGGCGUAGUGGUAACGCGCCCCAACAAGAGAUCGGGGAGUCGUGAGUUCGAUUCUCACUGAGAAGA